UACGUAGGGUGCAAGCGUUGUCCGGAAUUAUUGGGCGUAAAGAGCUCGUAGGCGGUUUGUCGCGUCUGCUGUGAAAUCUGGAGGCUCAACCUCCAGCCUGCAGUGGGUACGGGCAGACUAGAGUGCGGUAGGGGAGAUUGGAACUCCUGGUGUAGCGGUGGAAUGCGCAGAUAUCAGGAGGAACACCGGUGGCGAAGGCGGGUCUCUGGGCCGAUACUGACGCUGAGGAGCGAAAGCGUGGGGAGCAAACAGG
rnacentral:rRNA from 1 species